GUCCCUUACAAAGACCCUUCAGGCUCCCUCAGCAGUCUCUGUACAGUAACUCUGUGCUUGUUCCUGGACCAUGCACCUCUCUGCACUGGAGAAGCCAGCACUGCCAUCCCAGUGGUGGAGCAAUUGCAUACCAGGGUUCCUUCGUGGUUCCAGGCACCAUUUCUCAGAGGGUGAAGUAGGUAUUCCCUGCCUGAUUAAGGAGUGCCCACAGCUGACUGACUCACUAACACACCUUGCUCUGAGAGAAAUCACAGCAGCAGAAGGAUGUUGUUUGGAGAAGCAAAGAAAGUGCUUACUAAAGGGAGAGGUUCUACAGCUGAUUAUCUUCAUGACCCUCCUCUGGACUUGCUCCAAGGGCUCCAUGUUCUUCUCAUGUUGGGGGCUCCACAACUGGACACCGGCAAGGAUCCCAUGAGAGCAGCACUCAGCGCGCCCAUCAGGAAGCACGUUCUUCAAGAAAUGCUGUAGAUGAGUUCUACCUCAUUGACUCUCUGUGACCCUUGGUUAGGUCUUCAGCGAGCUUUACUGAAUGCACAUGAGAAGAAUUAAGUUGAAACCAAUAAAGACACCCUCAGUGAACAGACCCUGUGUGUCCUGCGGUCAGAACUGAGAAGGAGCCGGCGGCUCCCACCAGCCACCCAGC